rnacentral:lncRNA from 1 species
UUUUACAAUGAUCAAGUUGCCUGUGAUGACUGUUCUUGCCAGCUGAAGUGGAAUUCUGUAUUAUUGAUGAAAUCUUUGAAGUAUCAGUACAGACCAUGAAGUUCAGAAAUGAUGAGAUGCAGGUCUAAAUUGUUCAUUACAGUGUUUGAGGGAAACAUAGCGGAUGGCAAGAAUAGAGAACAUUUCACAAUUCUAGUUGUACAAUGAUCAAGUUGCUUGAGAUGACUGUUCUUGUUGUGGCCCUAGUACCAGCUGAAGAGGAAUUUUGUUUUAUAUUGUAAG